UGGAUUGCUUUUGGUUUUUUGAGUC
rnacentral:piRNA from 1 species